rnacentral:rRNA from 1 species
GAUGAACGCUGGCGGCGUGCCUAAUACAUGCAAGUCGAGCGAACAGAUGAGGAGCUUGCUCCUCUGACGUUAGCGGCGGACGGGUGAGUAACACGUGGAUAACCUACCUAUAAGACUGGGAUAACUUCGGGAAACCGGAGCUAAUCCCGGAUAAUAUCUUGAUCCGCAUUGUUCAAUGGUGAGAGUCGGUUUUUGUGGCUCUUCUCGAUGGUUACGAGCCGCAUUAGGUAGUUGGUACGGUAACGGCUUACCAAGGCAAGGAUGCGUAAACGACCUGCGAGGGUGAUCGGCCACACUGGAACGGGAACGCGGUCCAGACUCCUACGGGAGGCAGCAGUAGGGAAUCUUCCGCAAUGGGCGAAAGCUUGACGGAGCAACGCCGCGUGAGUGAUGAAGGUCUUCGGAUCGUGAAACUCUGUUAUGAGGGAAGAACAAAUGUGUAAGUAACUAUGCACGUCUUGACGGUACCUAAUCAGAAAGCCACGGCUAACUACGUG